rnacentral:rRNA from 1 species
GACGAACGCUGGCGGCGUGCUUAACACAUGCAAGUCGAACGGAAAGGCCCUGCUUUUGUUGGGUGCUCGAGUGGCGAACGGGUGAGUAACACGUGAGUAACCUGCCCUUGUCUUUGGGAUAACUUCAGGAAACUGGGGCUAAUACCGGAUAGGAGCUCCUGCUGCAUGGUGGGGGUUGGAAAGUUUCGGCGGUUGGGGAUGGACUCGCGGCUUAUCAGCUUGUUGGUGGGGUAGUGGCUGACCAAGGGUUUGACGGGUAGCCGGCCUGAGAGGGUGACCGGCCACAUUGGGACUGAGAUACGGCCCAGACUCCUACGGGAGGCAGCAGUGGGGAAUAUUGCACAAUGAGCGGAAGCGUGAUGCAGCAACGCCGCGUGCGGGAUGACGGCCUUCGGGUUGUAAACCGCUUUCGCAUGUGACGAAGCGUGAGUGACGGUAAUGGGUAAAGAAGCACCGGCUAACUACGUG